UGUGUGCGAGUCAUGGGUCUCGAUUAAGCCCAGAGGCGCAAUGAAAGCGAAGGCCGGAGGACUCCGGCCGUGUCGGGAUCCCCGCUCCCUCGCGUGCGGGGCGCACCGACGACCCGCCCCGAUCCGCUCGCGGAUGAGGCGGAGUCCGAGCGCACACGUUGUGACCCGAAAGAUGGUGAGCUAUGCCUGGACAGGACGAGGCCAGAGGAAACUCUGGUGGAGGUCCGUAGCGAUUCUGACGUGCAAAUCGAUCGUCAGAUCUGGGUCUAGGGGCGAAAGACUAAUCGAACCAUCUA
rnacentral:rRNA from 1 species